AAUUCAAUAAACGAACAAGACUCGACUUGAUUUUAGUUUAGUUGAAGAAUAGGGCAAACAAAUGAGGACACAAUAUAGUAGUUUUAAGAAGCUUCUUUCACAAUCUGGAUUUGGAUGGGAUAAUGUCAACAAAAUGGUCAUCGUGGAUGAUCCAACUAUAUGGGAGUCUCACAUCAAGGAAAAUAAGAUUGGGGUAGAUUCAGGAAUGAUGGGUUUUCUCGGUAUCUAGAUAUGUCUAUUGUGUUUGGUGAUACCUAUGCUAUUGGGGAUUAUGUUGUUGGAAAUGCCGAAGGCUUGGUGCUGUCGGAGGGAGGUGGUAACAAUGGUGAUAGUGAUGCAGGAGGUGAUCCAAAAGAACUUGAUGAACAUCAUAUUCAUGAGAAAGUCUUUAUAGCUGGUGCAUCUUUCACCCCGGUUCGUGAGAAGCACGAGUUAGAUAGGACUCCAAAUUCCAAAAGGAGGAGAAAGAGUAACAUAUUUGAUGUUUUUAGCACUAGCAAAGCCCUUCAAGAAAUGAUCAAAGUAAGGACGUGUCAAUCAACAAGUGGCUCCGUCACCUCACACCCCAUCACCUAUAGACCCAUACUCCAUUGGAGUAGUGGUUGGCGUCCAAAAUGGCAUGUCCGACUUGGACCGAAAUCUUUACAACAAAACUAUGAACCAAGCAUGCUUUAAUGCCACUUGGAGAGAGACUUUCAUGAUAGCUCUAUCUAAAAGGAGACGUGAAUUUCUUAAAUCUCUUUAAGUAGAUGUUGCGAAAUAUGCUAUGGAUUUGUAUUUAGCUUAAUUUCCCUCUAUGACUUAUGUACUUGAGAUGAUGUGGAUUUGUAUUUAGCUUAAUUUCACUCUAUAACUUAUAUACUUGAGAUGCCGUGGUUUUUCUUAUGA